UACGUAGGGUGCGAGCGUUGUCCGGAAUUAUUGGGCGUAAAGGGCUCGUAGGCGGUCUGUCGCGUCGGUAGUGAAAACUCAGGGCUUAACCCUGAGCCUGCUUCCGAUACGGGCAGACUAGAGGUAUGCAGGGGAGAACGGAAUUCCUGGUGUAGCGGUGAAAUGCGCAGAUAUCAGGAGGAACACCGGUGGCGAAGGCGGUUCUCUGGGCAUUACCUGACGCUGAGGAGCGAAAGUGUGGGAAGCGAACAGG
rnacentral:rRNA from 1 species